CCUACGGGAGGCAGCAGUAGGGAAUCUUCCACAAUGGACGAAAGUCUGAUGGAGCAAUGCCGCGUGAGUGAAGAAGGGUUUCGGCUCGUAAAACUCUGUUGUUAGAGAAGAACGGGCGUGAGAGUAACUGCUCACGUCGCGACGGUAUCUAACCAGAAAGUCACGGCUAACUACGUGCCAGCCUACGGGAGGCAGCAGUAGGGAAUCUUCCACAAUGGACGAAAGUCUGAUGGAGCAAUGCCGCGUGAGUGAAGAAGGGUUUCGGCUCGUAAAACUCUGUUGUUAGAGAAGAACGGGCGUGAGAGUAACUGCUCACGUCGCGACGGUAUCUAACCAGAAAGUCACGGCUAACUUCUGCCAGCAGCCGCGGUAAU
rnacentral:rRNA from 1 species